CAGCACCGCGGGAAUACGGAGGGUGCAAGCGUUAAUCGGAAUUACUGGGCGUAAAGCGCACGCAGGCGGUCUGACAAGUCAGAUGUGAAAUCCCCGGGCUUAACCUGGGAACUGCAUUUGAAACUGUCAGGCUGGAGUCUUGUAGAGGGGGGUGGAAUUCCAGGUGUAGCGGUGAAAUGCGUAGAGAUCUGGAGGAAUACCGGUGGCGAAGGCGGCCCCCUGGACAAAGACUGACGCUCAGGUGCGAAAGCGUGGGGAGCAAACAGGAUUAGAUACCCCUGUAGUCCCUGUCUCUUAUACA
rnacentral:rRNA from 1 species